rnacentral:rRNA from 1 species
AUGCAGUUCAGUAAAGAUGGGUUCUCUUCUCUUGUGUCUCGAGGAAAGCUGGAUUUUACCCUUGGCAUUUGCCGUGUCGUGGACAGAUGGAUGGAUGGAACGUCCUGUCUGCUCCAACAGUCACACACAGCGCAGCAGACGGCCCCCUUCUCUCUGUACUGCGGACUUUCACAGCUCGUGCAUGUGCAUCUUUUUCACAAACAAGAUAGAGAGAAAAAUGAGAGAGAGUGGUGGCAUGGGGCGUGGAGAUGGAAGAAAGAUACGGAUUCUUUUCAGCUUUUGCUGCCACAUGUCCGUAGCGGAAUUGCAUGCAAUGCAUGGGAUUCCAUCCCAGCCCAUUCCAGCAAUUCUCACUGUAGAAGCGCCGCGCUUUGUCGAUUAUGCUUUGUCAUGGUGAUUCAUUUUACCUAG